CGGGUGGGCACCCGAAAUCCUGUCGCUAGAGGAUUCAGUCUGGAUUUGCGGACUCGCUGGUCGGAAACGAAGAUAGGGCUUUCCGAGAACGGGGCCGUCCGAUCUCGAACGUCAGAUCCGCCAGACGCAUUUGUCUCUCGUCCGAAGGACGCCGCAGCCGGUCGGGCAGCGCAAGCGCGACGGUCUGAGGGGCGGACGAUGACAGGUGUCCGGUGGCGCGCCUCGUGCGUGUCGCCGGUUGUUAGCCGGUUCCAUCAGUGGCUCGUCGCUCGACCGAGGUGUCACGAGGCCCUUCGUGGCCCUCGCGCUUCCUCCCCACGGAUGUGGGAUAGUACGUCGCAAGCGAAGGACGCCGUCCCGUCGCACUCAUUCGGAGUGGACGGGCGAGCGGCCGGCGCCAUUGGCGACGGAGGCUGCAGGCUCCGUCGGAGGCUGGAGGCUCGCGACCAGUAGGUCGGUCACCUACCCGACCCGUCUUGAAACACGGACCAAGGAGUUUAACAUGUGCGCGAGUCAAUGGGUCUUGAACAUGCCCUGGCUCUUCGCGUCGACCGAGUUGGGAUCCCGCACUUCGCGCGCGAGCGCACCAACGACCCGUCCUUUUCGGCUCGCCGCUUGCGCGGAGUGUUAUCGUACACAUUGGGACCCGAAAGAUGGUGAACUAUGCCUGACAGGACGAGGUCAGAGGAAACUAUGGUGGAGGUCCGCAGCGUUUCUAACGUGCAAAUCGAUCGUCAGAUCCGGGUCAAGGGGCG
rnacentral:rRNA from 1 species